GCUUCUGUGCCCACAGUGAAGGCUGGUGCUUAACUUUAUUAAAUGCCUCAGAUUCAAAGCCUGCUACUUGUCUUCAGAAAAUCAUUGUGCAAUCAUCUCCAGAUGCUAUCUGCCAACAAGGAAAAUGAGUGCUCUGUCCAUUAGUCUUCCUCACAACUUCAAGAACUUUGGCAUUAUCAACAGAGGUGCCAGCAGCACCUCCAGUCAUGACAAUAAGAAAUAUUUCCAGACCUCACCAAGUAUCCCCUAUGGGACAAAACUGUUCCCAGAUGUGACCUUGAAUCCAUUGCACUGUGGAGUUCUGCUUCCUUUCCUAAUUCUGAAAAUGAGCCACAUUCUUCAAGUGGGAUAUUCACUCAUAGCUUUCCAAGCACCAAUCUAGGCACUGCAUAUGAAUUUCCUCACUCCUCACUUGGUCACAUAAAUUCUGCGAUGGGAAAUCUGAUACUC